GCCACUUGUCGCCCAGCUGCGAACUGGAGCGGGAGGCGGCGGCCGGAGGGCCCAGGACAGCCCCGGGAGGGCGGCGAGGCGGAGCAGGAGCGCCCCGGCUCCGGCCACAUUCUCAGAGUCAGGAAAAGGGGCGAGAGGCCACAUGUCUCCCUCUCGCCAAACUGAAAACGAAACGGCGCUCCAGCAGAUUGGGUGGAAAGAGCUGUGUCUGUUUUCUCUGUUUUUCACGCUAGAAAGGGCUUGUAAACAUUGUUCCUUUUAAAAUGACCUACCCCGGGCAUUUGUUUGGGCACACUUCUGUCCUGGGGUCAUCGUUCCUAGGUGGCUUCGGACCUGGGACUUUGAUUUCCUGUAUCUGCACAUUGUCGUUUUAUAUACAAUUGCCAAGGUGGGACUGCUUUCAACUUUACUGUGCUUGAAGCUGCAAAGGGAUCCUGUUACAGUGCAAAGAAGAAAUGGCAAACGGAUAACAGCUACUGUGCCUAGAAGAUGUUCUGCCCUGACGUUUCCUGGAAUAAUGCUGAGGACUGCCUUCCGGGUAGCCGCCCUAUUCAGUUCACUUCAUCUCGGAAAUACCUGACCCCUGCCUUGGAUCCAGCGGCCCUCCUGAGAGCUGAGGAAGGAGGAAAUCCUACGGGUCUCCUCCCGGAGCUGCCACAACCCAUCUUCCCACAACUCGGAACUUGGCAAAAGGAACCCAGGACGCGACUUUGCUUUUCUUUUGGACCUAGUUGAGUCACAGCUUGGAGGAAACCAGUUUGCACUGUUUGAUGAGGAAUUUGGCCACCAAACCACUGAUACUUUCCCAAAGGUUUGGCAGAAAUUGUUUUUUGAGUGGCUCACCAGAGUACCUAGAAGAAUCAGCAUGGAAUUAGAGGACAGUGGCCUACCCUAAAUAAAGACAUGAGUGAUGUGUAAAGUCUAGUGUCAAUUUAUUCAGAAAAUAUCAAAAUUAUUCUGGGAGCUAUGGGUCAAAGUUGAUAGGCACAAACAAACAAAAACAAAAGGUAUUUUAAAUUCACAGCUUGGAUAAGUAAAUGGGAGAUGUUGUCAUUUCUCUUCUUCAAUCCAACUUUAGAUUUUCAAGCCGGAAAAAGGGUAGUUAGAAGUUAGAAAUUGUUAUUGCCAGAAAAUAGCUCUAAACCCUGAAAAAAAACCAAAAAACAAAAAACUGACCCUUCUCUUGGGGAGUGAUAAACCUCAAUUACUGUUGAUAGUAAAACUGAUAUCAACUCUACGAAACCAGUGAAAGGUGAAUGGAA
rnacentral:lncRNA from 1 species